AUUUUAUUCAGUUUCACAAAUCACGAGUGUCACAGGUCUAUUUGCUUUUAGGACACAAUUGGUUAGGUUUAUGUGUUGGUUAAGGGGUAAAGAUGUCUGUUUUGUUCACCUCUCAUUUGCUUUUAGGACACUAUCGGUUAGGUUUAUGUGUUGGUUAAGGGUAAAGAUGUCUGUUUUGUUCACCUCUCAUUUGCUUUUAGGACACUAUUGGUUAGGUUUAGGUGUUGGUUAAGGGUAAGGAUGUCUGUUUUGUUCACCUCUCAUUUGCUUUUAGGACACUAUUGGUUAGGUUUAGGUGUUGGUUAAGGGUAAGGAUGUCUCUUUUGUUCACCUCUCAUUUGCUUUUAGGACACUAUUGGUUAGGUUUAGGUGUUGGUUAAGGGUAAAGAUGUCUGUUUUGUUUACUUCUCAUUUGCUUUUAGGACACUAUCGGUAAGGUUUAGGUGUUGGUUAAGGGUAAAGAUGUCUCUUUUGUCCACCUCUCAUUUGCUUUUAGGACACUAUCGGUUAGGUUUAGGUGUUGGUUAAGGGUAAAGAUGUCUGUUUUGUUUACUUCUCAUUUGCUUUUAGGACACUAUCGGUUAGGUUUAGGUGUUGGUUAAGGGUAAAGAUGUCUGUUUUGUUUACCUCUCAUUUGCUUUUAGGACACUAUCGGUUAGGUUUAGGUGUUGGUUAAGGGUAAAGAUGUCUGUUUUGUUUACUUCUCAUUUGCUUUUAGGACACUAUCGGUAAGGUUUAGGUGUUGGUUAAGGGUAAAGAUGUCUCUUUUGUCCACCUCUCAUUUGCUUUUAGGACACUAUCGGUUAGGUUUAGGUGUUGGUUAAGGGUAAAGAUGUCUGUUUUGUUUACCUCUCAUUUGCUGUUAGGACACUAUCGGUUAGGUUUAGGUGUUGGUUAAGGGUAAAGAUGUCUGUUUUGUUUACUUCUUAUUUGCUUUUAGGACG